GGGGAAUAUUGGACAAUGGGCGAAAGCCUGAUCCAGCCAUGCCGCGUGUGUGAAGAAGGUCUUCGGAUUGUAAAGCACUUUCAGUCAGGAGGAAGGUGGUGUAGCUAAUAUCUGCACCAAUUGACGUUACUGACAUAAGAAGCACCGGCUAACUUCGUGCCAGCAGCCGCGGUAAUACGAAGGGUGCAAGCGUUAAUCGGAAUUACUGGGCGUAAAGCGCGCGUAGGUGGUUCGUUAAGUUUGAUGUGAAAGCCCCGGGCUCAGCCUGGGAACUGCAUCCAAAACUGGCGAGCUAGAGUACGGUAGAGGGUGGUGGAAUUUCCUGUGUAGCGGUGAAAUGCGUAGAUAUAGGAAGGAACACCAGUGGCGAAGGCGACCACCUGGACUGAUACUGACACUGAGGUGCGAAAGCGUGGGGAGCAAACA
rnacentral:rRNA from 1 species